rnacentral:rRNA from 1 species
AGCGAACGCUGGCGGCAGGCUUAACACAUGCAAGUCGAACGCCUGUAGCAAUACGGGAGUGGCAGACGGGUGAGUAACGCGUGGGAACGUGCCCUUUGGUUCGGGAUAACCUAGGGAAACUUGGGCUAAUACCGGAUACGUCCCUAACGGGAGAAAGAUUUAUUGCCGAAGGAUCGGCCCGCGGCCGAUUAGCCAGUUGGUGGGGUAAUGGCUCACCAAGGCGACGAUCGGUAGCUGGUCUGAGAGGAUGGUCAGCCACACUGGGACUGAGACACGGCCCAGACUCCUACGGGAGGCAGCAGUGGGGAAUAUUGGACAAUGGGCGCAAGCCUGAUCCAGCCAUGCCGCGUGGGUGAUGAAGGCCCUAGGGUUGUAAAGCCCUUUCGGCGGGGAAGAUAAUGACGGUACCCGCAGAAGAAGCCCCGGCUAACUUCGUGCCAGCAGCCGCCGUAAAAC